rnacentral:rRNA from 1 species
AAUACAUAGGAAUCUGCCCAGUAGCGGGGGACAACUCGGAGAAAUCCGAGCUAAUACCGCAUACGCCCUACGGGGGAAAGCAGGGGAUCUUCGGACCUUGCACUAUUGGAUGAGCCUAUGUCAGAUUAGCUAGUUGGUGGGGUAAAGGCCUACCAAGGCGACGAUCCAUAGCUGGUCUGAGAGGAUGAUCAGCCACACUGGAACUGAGACACGGUCCAG